AAGACUUUGAGAACGAGGCUCUGGGACCUCCUACAGCACAACAAACACAGGCAGGAAACAGCUGAGCUAGGCUAGAGCAACACAACACAGAUUUAGGAGGGGGAGGGGACGAGAGCAAGCCGCAUAAAGCUGGGCUAGGUAGGCAGCCAAAAACAAUUAGAAACACAAGGAUGGGGGAGUGACAACAACCGCCCCCAAAACUUUCCAUUAGGUCAAGAGAUCAAAUUUACCUAAAACCUACUUACUUACACGGACAGCCAAACUGUCCUUGUAUGCUAUGGAAAAGCCCUAGUUACUGAUGGGAAAUAAAUGGUGACUCUCGGAAUUAAGGGAGGGUUAAAUCCCCACCGCACAUCUUUUAUCCCAGGCCAGGCAUUUGUUUUUGUCUUUAAUGGUUGACAAAACUCUGGUGAAGGAUUUCAAUAUUAGAGUUACAGUUCACUGGAAAGGCAGGGACUUCCAACUAAAUUCUUCCUAAGACUCAGAACCCAAGGUCCUUUAGUGUUGGAGAUGGCCAACAUCUCCAAGAGUAGCCAUGUUGACCCCCCUCCCUCCCCUUCCCUGUACAGAGAAGUUGAAAAGUUAAGUCUAUGAUAUAUACUAAGAAAAUUUGACAUUAAUCAGGCAGUAAAUAGGAGGAAAAAAGUUGUUGCUGUGUGUAUCGCGUUGCGAUUGUUUGCUGUGAUUUUAAAGGGAAAUGCCUUCUUCUGGGGAAGUUUUAGGAGAUCUAUCCCACUUAAAUGAAAACAACAAUUAAGACUAAAGUGUUUGGGGGGGAGGGGUCCAGCAGCGGUGAAAAUAAGGCAACCAACCAGACCCACUCUUCAAAUGGAAGGUCGGUGAGCAACAGAGGCUGCCUAUGUGGCGCUCUUCAGGAACCACCCACCUCCCAGCUGAGAGCACACAACACUGCAGCCACGUGA